AGAUAUAGAGACUAAAGGAGCAGCAGAUUGAGCUGCUGAGGACAGGGGAGCUACCUGCUAGAAGUUAUCGGGUACCUCCAUGAAGUUUGUUCUCCAUCCAUCAUCCAUAAGAAUAUCAACUCAUCCAACAUUCUGCUUGACUUUGAGCUCAAUCCUCAUCUUUCAGACUAUGGGUUAGCCAAUUUUCAUCAUGUAAAGAACCAGCCCCUCUUUCAUUUGGUAUUACAAAGGAGGAAAAAUUGGAGUCAAAAGCGCUCAAGUGUGCACAGUUAGCUUGCUUGGGUACACAGCUUUCAUGUUUUCAAAGUUUGUAAUGCCUGUG